CGACGGCGUUCGUAUAACACACCUCGUGUGCGAAUUUUCGAGAAUAUGCUGGUUGCUUCGAAAAACAGAUGGCAGUGCGUCCCGCGACAAGCGAAUCUGCUCGGACGACAACGUGGCGCGAUCAGUGUGGUAAAUUCUUCGAUAUCGAUAGAAACAGUGCGUGACAGUCGAAAAUACGAUUCACGAAGAUGACUUCGACGACGACCGGUCUGCAUGGCCGCCACCCACGCUGGCAGGAACACGAACGAACAGCCUCCCGGACAUGGUGGAUGCUAAAGACACGGCAUCGAUGCGUUUACGAGACCCCUUUGCGCGGCUCCUCCGCCUGCUCCAGCAGAGGCGCUGUCUACGGUUAGAGGGAAUCGCUGAAGCACCCUUUGCUCGCAGGUAACUCGUCCUGUAUCGUCCAGGCAGUCUUUUGUCUACUGCGAAUUCUCUGUGGCAAAC